rnacentral:piRNA from 1 species
UUAUUGAACUGACAGGAGGCUUUGGGCGCGU